ensembl:lncRNA
GUGUAUCAGUAUGUGUAUCAGUAUGUGUAUCAGUAUGUGUAGAACUAUGUCUGUGUAUCAGUAUGUGUAUAACUAUGUAUGUGUAUCAGUAUGUGUAGAACUAUGUAUGUGUAUCAGUAUGUGUAUCAGUAUGUGUAUCAGUAUGUGUAUCAGUAUGUGUAGAACUAUGUCUGUGUAUCAGUAUGUGUAUCAGUAUGUGUAGAACUAUGUAUGUGUAUCAGUAUGUGUAUGACUAUGUAUGUGUAUCAGUAUGUGUAUCAGUAUGUGUAUAACUAUGUCUGUGUAUCAGUAUGUGUAGAACUAUGUAUGUGUAUCAGUAUGUGUAUCAGUAUGUGUAUCAGUAUGUGUAGAACUAUGUAUGUGUAUCAGUAUGUGUAGAACUAUGUAUGUGUAUCAGUAUGUGUAUCAGUAUGUGUAGAACUAUGUCUGUGUAUCAGUAUGUGUAUCAGUAUGUGUAGAACUAUGUAUGUGUAUCAAACUGUGUAUCAGUAUGUGUAUCAGUAUGUGUAGAACUAUGUAUGUGUAUCAGUAUGUGUAUAACUAUGUAUGUGUAUCAGUAUGUGUAGAACUAUGU